AUGAACAAGAACUGGAUCAGGGCGGUGGCCAGACUUCAGACCAUUCAACAGCUGGGAGAAUUCGUGUCUCUCUCGAAUCACAUCAGUCAGAUCACCCUCCUCCCUAAUCAAGAGGACAACAUUCACUGGAACUUAACCACCUCGGGGGCAUACUCUGCUGCCUCUGCCUACGACGCACCAUUCUUUGGCUCCUACUCACGUUUCGACACGACCAAGGUCUGGUCCGCAAACGCUGAGCCCAAAUGCAAGUUCUUUGCUUGGCUAGCUCUACACGAAAGAAUCCUCACUGCGGAUAUGCUGGCUGUGCGGGGAUGGCCUCACGACCCCAGCCAAAAACAGCAACUCACCUCUGCAAGGACUGUCCCUUCACAGUCGCGGUCUGGAACCAGGUGA
rnacentral:rRNA from 1 species